CGGACGGGUGAGUAAUGUCUGGGAAACUGCCUGAUGAGGGGGAUAACUACUGGAAACGGUAGCUAAUACCGCAUAACGUCGCAAGACCAAGAGGGGACCUUCGGGCCUCUUGCCAUCGGAUGUGCCCAGAUGGGAUUAGCUAGUAGGUGGGGUAACGGCUCACCUAGGCGACGAUCCCUAGCUGGUCUGAGAGGAUGACCAGCCACACUGGAACUGAGACACGGUCCAG
rnacentral:rRNA from 1 species